GACGAACGCUGGCGGCGUGCUUAACACAUGCAAGUCGAACGGUGAAGGGAUCAGCUUGCUGGUUCUGGAUGAGUGGCGAACGGGUGAGUAACACGUGAGUAACCUGCCCCCUUCUUCUGGGUAACCGCAUGAAAGUGUGGCUAAUACGGGAUAUUCUGCGCUUGCGGCGAGGGGGGUGGGGGUAAGAUCUUGUUGCGGUGGGGGGUGGGCUCGCGGCCUCUCCGCGUGUUGGGGGGGUGAUGGCCUACCAAGGCGGUGACGGGUGGCCGGGGUGAGGGGGGGGCCGGCCACACUGGGGCUGCGGUCCGGCCCCGUAUCGUACGGAGGGGAGCAGUGUGGAGGAUUGCACGCGGGGGGCUAGCCUGAUGCAGCGACGCCGCGUGAGGGAUGCUGGCCUUCGGGUUGUGAACCUGUUGCGAAAGUGAAGCAGGCCUGUCCCAUGUGGGUGGGUUGACGGUAGCUGGAGAAGAAGCGCCGGCUAACUACGUG
rnacentral:rRNA from 1 species